ensembl:snRNA U2 U2 spliceosomal RNA
UCCACUUUUUUUUUGAUUAAAAUCAAAUACAGUAUCUGUUCUUAUCCGUUUACUAUCUGCUGUACCCUCUAUCCGAGGUCAAUAUACUAAAUUGAUCAUUGGAGCAGGGAAUCUAAAAAGGGCUUGAUCUGUUCACUCCACACACCUACCUGGUAUUGCAUUAUUUCCAGGGAUGGGGCCCCCUUA